AGCGAACGCUGGCGGCAGGCUUAACACAUGCAAGUCGAGCGGGCCCUUUGGGGUCAGCGGCAGACGGGUGAGUAACGCGUGGGAACGUGCCCUUCGGUUCGGAAUAACUCAGGGAAACUUGAGCUAAUACCGGAUACGCCCUUAUGGGGAAAGGCUUGCUGCCGAAGGAUCGGCCCGCGUCUGAUUAGCUAGUUGGUGAGGUUAUGGCUCACCAAGGCGACGAUCAGUAGCUGGUCUGAGAGGAUGAUCAGCCACACUGGGACUGAGACACGGCCCAGACUCCUACGGGAGGCAGCAGUGGGGAAUAUUGGACAAUGGGGGCAACCCUGAUCCAGCCAUGCCGCGUGAGUGAUGACGGCCUUAGGGUUGUAAAGCUCUUUUCUCCGGGACGAUAAUGACGGUACCGGAGGAAUAAGCCCCGGCUAACUUCGUG
rnacentral:rRNA from 1 species